rnacentral:rRNA from 1 species
AUGUUUCUAGGCGCGAUGCCCCGGAAGCCGAGCAAGGAGGCGGCGUACAAGGAGCUGCGCUUGCAUCUCAGCAUCAUGGCGGGCUGCAUCGCCGUCAUCCGCGCCGCCCCCUACAUCCUCCACUACCUCACCCGCGAGCCCGGCAUGACGGAGCUCAAGCUCGAGCUCUAG